GUAGUAUUCCCUCCGUCCCAAAAAUCUUGUCUUACAUUUGUUUAGAUACGGAUGUAUCUAACACUAAAAUGUAACUAGAUACAUCCGUAUUUAGACAAAUUUAAGACAAGAAUUUUGGGACGGAGGGAGUACAAA
rnacentral:pre_miRNA from 1 species